GGAGGAGGGUUCAAUUUUGGGUUCAGCAUUGUUUACGUGGCCCGCACGCUGGGGUAAGCGCUGCGGGACAGAGACAGGGGCAGUCUCUGUGUUCCAUCAGGACCAAUUAAGAUCCCCACCCCACCCCCUGUUCUCUGGACCAUAGACAAUGAGAGACAGAAGCCCUCGGACAAGACCCGGUUCUCUGCGGACAAGAUCCGGUUCUCUGCGGUCAAGACCCGGUUCUCUGCUGACAAGACCCGGUUCUCUGCUGACAAGACCCGGUUCUCUGCGUAGUUCGGCGACGACGUAACAGAGCUAGCGGGCCUGGAUGCCCACAGUGGCCUCGGAAGCGAGAGUCCCGGUCCCAGGUCUCUUACCGGCGGCGGGUACAGGGUUUUAAUGAAGGUGCUGCUGUUCUCCUUGA
rnacentral:sRNA from 1 species